rnacentral:misc_RNA from 1 species
AGCAGCCGCGGUAAUUCCAGCUCCAAUAGCGUAUAUUAAAGUUGUUGCAGUUAAAAAGCUCGUAGUUGAACUUCGGGGUCUACCCAUUGGUCAGGCUUAAUUGUCUGCACUGGUGGGAUGGAUCUCUACCUUCUGAGGAACUUUCAUGCCAUUUAUUUGGUGUGAUUGGAAAUCAGGACUGUUACUUUGAAAAAUUAGAGUGUUUAAAGCAGACUAUCGUCUGAAUACAUUAGCAUGGAAUAAUGAAAUAGGACGGACUGAUUCUAUUUCGUUGGUUUCUAGGAUCACCGUAAUGAUUAAUAGGGAUAGUUGGGGGCAUUAGUAUUCAAUUGUCAGAGGUGAAAUUCUUGGAUUUAUUGAAGACUAACUACUGCGAAAGCAUUUGCCAAGGAUGUUUUCAUUAAUCAAGAACGAAAGUUAGGGGAUCGAAGACGAUCAAGAUACCGUCGUAGUCUUAACCAUAAAACUAUGCCGACUAGGGAUCGGACGAAGUUAAUUUUAUAAUUGAACACGUUCGGCU